GAUGAAGAACGUAUCGAAAUGCGAUAAGUAAUGUGAAUUGCAGAAUUCAGUGAAUCAUCGAAUCUUUGAACGCAUCUUGCGCUCCUUGGUAUUCUGAGGAGCAUGCCUGUUUGAGUGUCAUUAAAUUCUCAACUACACUGACUUUGAAUUGGUGUGGCUUGGAUUUGGGGGGAAAAUUGUUGUGGGCUUUUUGUAUAGUCUGCUCCCCUGAAAUUGAUUAGCGGUACCUUUGUGGAACUGUCUACAGGUGUGAUAAUUAUCUACAUCUUAGACAUCUGCUGGAAUGCUGCUUUCUAAACCUUACUUGUAUUGACAAUCUUGACCUCAAAUCAGGUAGGACUACCCGCUGAACUUAAGCAUAUCAAUAAGCGGAGGA
rnacentral:misc_RNA from 1 species